GGGGAAAAAUUAAUAAAAAAUAAUUAAUAAAAGAAUUUUUAAUAUUGGGGGAUAUUAAAGUAUUUUUUUUAAAAAAAAUAUUAAUUUUUAUAGUAAAGUAGUAUUGUAAAAUAAAUUUGAAAUAAUUGAAAAUAAAUUAGAAAUAAAGUAAUUUUAAUUUAAUGUAUCUUGAGUAUCAGAGUUUAUUAAAAAAUGUUUUUUAACAAAAAAAAUCUCGAAUUUAAAAGAGUUAAUUAAUUAAAAAAAUUAAUGUUGAAUAAUUAUUUUAAAUAAUUAAUUAGAAAUGAAAUGUUAAUCGUUUUUAAAUAUAUCUAGUUUUUUUAGAAAAAAAUUAAAUUUAAAAUUUAAAAAAUUUUAUUAAAAAAUAUUUUUUAAUAAAAUAUUUAAAAUUUAAUAUAUUAAGGGAUAAGCUUUAAUAUAAAUAUUUAUAAUUAAUUAGUUUAUAAAAAUAAAAAUUUUAAAAUUUAUAUUGUUUAAAAAUUAAAAUUUUUUAUAAAAAAUUUUAAUUAAAAUAAAAUUUAAUAUAAUUUAAUUUUUUAUAAAAAAAUAAUUUUUAAUACAAAAAAAAUUAGAAAUAAUGAUAAAAUUAGUAUAUUUAAAUUAAAAAUAAUAAGAUAAAUUUAAUUUAAAUUAAAGGAAUUUGGCAAAUAUUUAUAUUCACUUGUUUAUCAAAAACAUGUCUUUUAGAAAAUAAUUUAAAGUCUAAUCUGCCCACUGAUAAAUUAUUAAAGGGCUGCAGUAUAUUGACUGUACAAAGGUAGCAUAAUAAAUAGUCUUUUAAUUGAAGACUUGUAUGAAAGAUUUAAUGAAAUAUAAACUGUCUCUGAUUUAAUAAUAGAAAUUAAUUUUUUAGUUAAAAAGCUAAAAUUUUUUUAAAAGACGAGAAGACCCUAUAGAGUUUUAUUUUACUAUUAUUUAAGAUUAUAUUUAUAAUUAAAAAUUAAAAUUAAUAUUAAAAUUUUAUUGGGGUGAUAAAAAAAUUAAAAUAACUUUUUUUAAAUUUAUUAACAUAAAUAAAUGAAAAUUUGAUCCAUAAAUUAUGAUUAAAAGAAAAAAUUACCUUAGGGAUAACAGCGUAAUUUUUUUUUUUAGUACAAAUAAAAAAAAAAGAUUGCGACCUCGAUGUUGGAUUAAGAUAAAAUUUAAAUGCAAAAGUUUAAAAGUUUUGAUCUGUUCGAUCAUUAAAAUCUUACAUGAUCUGAGUUCAAACCGGUGUAAGCCAGGUUGGUUUCUAUCUUUAAGAUAAAAAAAUAUUUUA
rnacentral:rRNA from 1 species